ACGAACGCUGGCGGCAUGCCUAACACAUGCAAGUCGAACGAGACCUUCGGGUCUAGUGGCGCACGGGUGCGUAACGCGUGGGAACCUGCCCUUAGGUUCGGAAUAACUCCCCGAAAGGGGUGCUAAUACCGGAUAAUGUCUUCGGACCAAAGAUUUAUCGCCUUUGGAUGGGCCCGCGUUGGAUUAGCUAGUUGGUAGGGUAAAAGCCUACCAGGGCGACGAUCCAUAGCUGGUCUGAGAGGAUGAUCAGCCACACUGGGACUGAGACACGGCCCAGACUCCUACGGGAGGCAGCAGUGGGGAAUAUUGGACAAUGGGCGAAAGCCUGAUCCAGCAAUGCCGCGUGAGUGAUGAAGGCCUUAGGGUUGUAAAGCUCUUUUACCCGGGAUGAUAAUGACAGUACCGGGAGAAUAAGCUCCGGCUAACUCCGUG
rnacentral:rRNA from 1 species